rnacentral:rRNA from 1 species
GGUUAAGCGACUAAGCGUACACGGUGGAUGCCCUGGCAGUCAGAGGCGAUGAAGGGCGUGCUAAUCUGCGAUAAGCGCCGGUAAGGUGAUAUGAACCGUUAUAACCGGCGAUACCCGAAUGGGGAAACCCAGUGUGACUCGUCACACUAUCAUUAACUGAAUCCAUAGGUUAAUGAGGCGAACCGGGGGAACUGAAACAUCUAAGUACCCCGAGGAAAAGAAAUCAACCGAGAUUCCCCCAGUAGCGGCGAGCGAACGGGGAGGAGCCCAGAGCCUGAAUCAGCAUGUGUGUUAGUGGAAGCGUCUGGAAAGGCGCGCGAUACAGGGUGACAGCCCCGUACACAAAAGCGCAUGUGCUGUGAGCUCGAUGAGUAGGGCGGGACACGUGGUAUCCUGUCUGAAUAUGGGGGGACCAUCCUCCAAGGCUAAAUACUCCUGACUGACCGAUAGUGAACCAGUACCGUGAGGGAAAGGCGAAAAGAACCCCGGCGAGGGGAGUGAAAAAGAACCUGAAACCGUGUACGUACAAGCAGUGGGAGCCCCACCACUAAGCCAGUGGUGAACUCCACAUACGCAUCCUUUGCUGAGGAUACGGUUAACGGAGCGAAAGCGACGUUCAACCUCAAAAGAAGCAGAGGGGGCUUAGUGGUGGGGUGACUGCGUACCUUUUGUAUAAUGGGUCAGCGACUUAUAUUCUGUAGCAAGGUUAACCGAAUAGGGGAGCCGGAGGGAAACCGAGUCUUAACCGGGCGUUAAGUUGCAGGGUAUAGACCCGAAACCCGGUGAUCUAGCCAUGGGCAGGUUGAAGGUUGGGUAACACUAACUGGAGGACCGAACCGACUAAUGUUGAAAAAUUAGCGGAUGACCUGUGGCUGGGGGUGAAAGGCCAAUCAAACCGGGAGAUAGCUGGUUCUCCCCGAAAGCUAUUUAGGUAGCGCCUCGUGAAUUCAUCUCCGGGGGUAGAGCACUGUUUCGGCUAGGGGGCCAUCCCGGCUUACCAACCCGAUGCAAACUGCGAAUACCGGAGAAUGUUAUCACGGGAGACACACGGCGGGUGCUAACGUCCGUCGUGAAGAGGGAAACAACCCAGACCGCCAGCUAAGGUCCCAAAGUCAUGGUUAAGUGGGAAACGAUGUGGGAAGGCCCAGACAGCCAGGAUGUUGGCUUAGAAGCAGCCAUCAUUUAAAGAAAGCGUAAUAGCUCACUGGUCGAGUCGGCCUGCGCGGAAGAUGUAACGGGGCUAAACCAUGCACCGAAGCUGCGGCAGCGACACUGUGUGUUGUUGGGUAGGGGAGCGUUCUGUAAGCCUGUGAAGGUGUGUCGUGAGGCAUGCUGGAGGUAUCAGAAGUGCGAAUGCUGACAUAAGUAACGAUAAAGCGGGUGAAAAGCCCGCUCGCCGGAAGACCAAGGGUUCCUGUCCAACGUUAAUCGGGGCAGGGUGAGUCGACCCCUAAGGCGAGGCCGAAAGGCGUAGUCGAUGGGAAACGGGUUAAUAUUCCCGUACUUGGUGUUACUGCGAAGGGGGGACGGAGAAGGCUAUGUUGGCCGGGCGACGGUUGUCCCGGUUUAAGCGUGUAGGCUGGUUUUCCAGGCAAAUCCGGAAAAUCAAGGCUGAGGCGUGAUGACGAGGCACUACGGUGCUGAAGCAACAAAUGCCCUGCUUCCAGGAAAAGCCUCUAAGCAUCAGGUAACAUCAAAUCGUACCCCAAACCGACACAGGUGGUCAGGUAGAGAAUACCAAGGCGCUUGAGAGAACUCGGGUGAAGGAACUAGGCAAAAUGGUGCCGUAACUUCGGGAGAAGGCACGCUGACACGUAGGUGAAGUGAUUUACUCAUGGAGCUGAAGUCAGUCGAAGAUACCAGCUGGCUGCAACUGUUUAUUAAAAACACAGCACUGUGCAAACACGAAAGUGGACGUAUACGGUGUGACGCCUGCCCGGUGCCGGAAGGUUAAUUGAUGGGGUCAGCGCAAGCGAAGCUCCUGAUCGAAGCCCCGGUAAACGGCGGCCGUAACUAUAACGGUCCUAAGGUAGCGAAAUUCCUUGUCGGGUAAGUUCCGACCUGCACGAAUGGCGUAAUGAUGGCCAGGCUGUCUCCACCCGAGACUCAGUGAAAUUGAACUCGCUGUGAAGAUGCAGUGUACCCGCGGCAAGACGGAAAGACCCCGUGAACCUUUACUAUAGCUUGACACUGAACAUUGAGCCUUGAUGUGUAGGAUAGGUGGGAGGCUUUGAAGCGUGGACGCCAGUCUGCGUGGAGCCGACCUUGAAAUACCACCCUUUAAUGUUUGAUGUUCUAACGUGGACCCGUAAUCCGGGUUGCGGACAGUGUCUGGUGGGUAGUUUGACUGGGGCGGUCUCCUCCUAAAGAGUAACGGAGGAGCACGAAGGUUGGCUAAUCCUGGUCGGACAUCAGGAGGUUAGUGCAAUGGCAUAAGCCAGCUUGACUGCGAGCGUGACGGCGCGAGCAGGUGCGAAAGCAGGUCAUAGUGAUCCGGUGGUUCUGAAUGGAAGGGCCAUCGCUCAACGGAUAAAAGGUACUCCGGGGAUAACAGGCUGAUACCGCCCAAGAGUUCAUAUCGACGGCGGUGUUUGGCACCUCGAUGUCGGCUCAUCACAUCCUGGGGCUGAAGUAGGUCCCAAGGGUAUGGCUGUUCGCCAUUUAAAGUGGUACGCGAGCUGGGUUUAGAACGUCGUGAGACAGUUCGGUCCCUAUCUGCCGUGGGCGCUGGAGAACUGAGGGGGGCUGCUCCUAGUACGAGAGGACCGGAGUGGACGCAUCACUGGUGUUCGGGUUGUCAUGCCAAUGGCACUGCCCGGUAGCUAAAUGCGGAAGAGAUAAGUGCUGAAAGCAUCUAAGCACGAAACUUGCCCCGAGAUGAGUUCUCCCUGAGACUUAGAGUCUCCUGAAGGAACGUUGAAGACGACGACGUUGAUAGGCCGGGUGUGUAAGCGCAGCGAUGCGUUGAGCUAACCGGUACUAAUGAACCGUGAGGCUUAACCUU